rnacentral:rRNA from 1 species
UACGUAGGGGGCAAGCGUUGUCCGGAUUUAUUGGGCGUAAAGCGCGCGUAGGCGGCGCGGUAUGUCGUGCGUGAAAUCUCCCGGCUUAACUGGGAGGGGCCGUGCGAAACUGCCAGGCUUGAGGUCGGAAGGGGAAAGUGGAAUUCCGGGUGUAGUGGUGGAAUACGUAGAUAUCCGGAGGAACACCAGCGGCGAAGGCGGCUUUCUGGUCCGAUACUGACGCUGAGGAGCGAAAGUGUGGGGAGCGAACAGG